rnacentral:lncRNA from 1 species
CAGAUUCGUAAAAAUUGCAGCAAAAAAAAUCCAAAUUAAUAAAACUAUACCCAAUGAAUCAACAAUAAAAAUUUUACUUCAGAAUAUAAAUGAUUUUGUGCUUACCUUCAACUUCCUAAUUAUGCCCCUACCUCUAAAACUCUUUAACCAUCUACCGACCUUCAACUUUCCAGUUAUACCCCUGCCUCUCAAGCAUAUUUAAACUUCUGUCAAUCCAUUUUCACUAUUCUCUUUUCCUACUCAAAAGUUUGAGCUUAAUCUUCAAAUUUUCAGCUAUGACCCUGCCCCAACUCAAAUUAUAAGUCACACCUGUAUAAAAGUCAUAAUAUUAUGUUUAGGAAGCAAAGUUAAUACCAAUAAUAGCACUUUACUUAUGUUUCUUUAUAAACAUCAAAUAUGAUACAGAGAAAGUAAAAACUAAAAAAAUAAUCUGGUCAAAAAAGUUAAAAAGAAGAAAUUAACAAAAAAAAAUUACAAAAAAACAACAUAUAAAUGUUAAACAGAAGUGUAUAGUCAGAUAAAAUUAAAAAUUUUACCAAAAAAAAAGUCUGUUAAGAGGGAACAUUUCGCCCAAUCUUUCUAAAUGGAAAUCACUUGUUUCCCACAGAGUAGCAAAGAUGGUUAAACAGAAGUGUACAACCAACAAUUUUAUGACAAAACAAAAUAUAAAUGUUGAUGAUGAAAACUGAUUACUAAAUGUUAUAAUCAGAUAAAAUUAAAACCAAGUAAAAAAUGUUUAACACAUAAUGAAUACAUGCCUUAAACUCAUAAACAAUUACCUUUUUUUUUCAUAUUUCCGGAAGAAAAAAACUGAUCUUUUCUAGGCAUCUUGGUUCAAACAUUUAAUCGAGCAGUUGGGGUGCGUAGUGAGACUCUCUUUCAAAUGGCAAUAUGAAGUGGUUGGGGUGUAACUGAAUCUUGUUCUUCGGUUAUGAUGGAGGCAAGCGAUCAUAUUCCCUAUAGGAACAAAGAUAAAAAAACAAAAAAAAAAAGUUACCAAGAGCAGGAAUAACAAAAAUUCGUUUGCAGAUUGUAGGCAGGAUACUGGAAACAAUAUAGUAAAAAAUGGUACCCUCUCACUUGAGUCAUUAAAUCCCUAAAAAUGAAGACAAUCACAGCUAUAGACAAAGCCGAUGAAACUAAUAAAAAAAACAAUAAAAACAUGAUACCUUUUGAACUGGAAAGCUAAAAGAUUUCAAGGAUUCCGAUUUUGGAAAAGGAUCCAUGGAUACAGCUGAAUUUCUUGCAGUAGAGUUCUAUCCAUUGGCAUUAUCGGCCUCCUUUGUCGCAACUGAACGAAAGAUAAAAGAGCUCGAGGAUUCCGAUUUUGAAAAAUGAUCAUUGAAGUUGGUUUUACCUGAUUCGAUGCUUUGUCUGCUUUUGCUAUUAGAAAACCCUAGGCCAUAGCCAGUGGAUGGCGAGGGAGAUAACCAGCGCUUUCGUUGUGGCGGGUUAUGUUCUUGUGGCUGCGCAAUGGGAUGGGAGUUCGGCAUUUUAAAAUUAAAUUGUUCUUUUUUAGCGCUGGAUCGGGGAAUCAGGGGUGGAGAUUGGAAGAGGGAGGUCCAAAUGGAGUAGAUUCAGAAAAGAAGACGAUAGAAGAAGAGAACUUACAAAUACCGGUGUUUGCAGAGGAUGUGAUUGAGUGGCAUGCUGGGGAAGAAAGCGAUGACUGGCUGGAGGUUAUUCAAAUUGGAUAAAACCCAGAUGGUAGAGUACAUAAUUUGGUUAGGAAAAGUUGGUGGGCUGUUUAAUCGGAGGCAGAGGCGGUGGUGCUUUUCUGGAAGAAGCCGAUGCAAACACGUAACAAUGGAGAACGGGAAAGUAACACGUGUGUGACAAUAAUCCAGACAUUGACUAUUUACCAAGCAUGGUAAAAAGUAGGAAAAAAUAUGAAAUUAAAAGCAAAUUAAUGAAAAAGAAAAAAAAAUCAAAAAAGGUUUGGUCCAAUCAAGAACCGUUGAAAAAUUGGGAACCAUCUUUUAAUAUAACAAUGAAAUAAAAUGACCCGAUGCAGAGACAGAAUUGAACCCAUGACUAUAAACAAAGGAC